AUUGCCUACCCUCAAGAAAAUCUGAAUGUGUAUAGGGAGGCGGCAGAGCAUUUGUAGGCACUGACUAAAAGAAAAGGGUAAAAAUGUCUCUCUCCGCUUUGGUUUGGAGUUUAUGCCCAUAUGCACAUGCGUGCACAUGCAAGAGUAACUUUUUAAAAUCUGUAACUUCUAUGAAGUUUUCUCAGUGCAAAAAUUGUACAUCAUUUUUUAUAGCAGUUUGAAAAAAAUAAGCAAGAAGGAAGAAAAAUAAGAAUUGCUCCUACUCCCAUCUUCCAUAGAUAACCACCAUUACAGCCCAGUUUUGAUCUCUGCCCUCCAGUUUCUCUCCUAUGCUUGCACAUUCCUCCUAUAACAAAAAUGGGUUGUGUCGUACAUGCUGUUUUACAACUGGCUUCUUUUAUUUAACAUAUAACUAUCUUUCCAUGUCAUUAAGGGUUCUUUUGUACCAGUGAUUUUCGAUAUACUUUGUGUCUGGAGCACACUUUCAAUAAUUUUCAACAGCAUAUUUGAAGAAAUUAAAAGACACUAGCCAUUAAGUUAAUAAUGUCUUUUUGCUGCCAAAACAUCCACCAUAACCUCACUGUUUGCUUGGUCCUUCUUUAGAGCCGUGUCGUUACUUGAGUAGAGCUGUUUACUGCUCCCACUGUGAACUCAUAUCCUCAAAAAGCAAAGUUGAGCACAUUCCUCUCACAGGAGCCAGCUGGACUGUUCUGAUCUGGGCCGACCCACUGGUCUGUGCUGGGCUCUGUGCAUCUGUGGUCAGCUGAUGGCUUCUGACUGAGGCUGGAUGAUCUAGGAUGGCCUCAUCCACAUGUCUGCUUCUAGGAAAUGACUUGAUUUAAUCAUCUCAUUGCUGAUCCCAAGAGAAGACCAAGUGCCUACAAGUGAAGUAAGUAAGCCCAUUCAUAGACUUGUGGUGAACUUGGUGCUCCUGGUCAUGUCAUAGCCAAGGAUGAGGGGGAUCUGUUUAGGGAAUAUUUCUUUAAAAAGCCCAGAAUAUCUAUAAUAAAUAGUGGUUCUUAUCCAUUCACAGGGCAUGGAUCCCUUUAAGAAUGUGAAAAGCCUGUGGAACAAUUCUUUGGAAAAAUGCACAUGUAUGUGCACACACACACACAAUAUUUGGCAUAUAACUUUUAGGGGAUUCCCAAGAAACCUGAAUCCAGUUGGCUCACCCCAAGAACCCUAAGUCUGUAGGUUCUAAAUGGGCCCCUGGAAACCAGAUUGCUUCAGCAUCUAGGCUUGACUGAUUAUUUUUUUGGUUUUGUAGAAUAUUUGGAGGCCUUGUGUCCAACAGAACGGAGCUAGGUGUUUCUGUUGGGUUGCACUAGAAUGUAAACUGUUAUAUGAAGGGCUAACCAAGAUAUUAGAAUAAAUGUGAAGCCAUUUGUUUAAACCCUGAUCUUUAUACAGCUGGUCACAGGUCUUUUGUCCUGUGAGAGGGCCGGUUAGUUGCCCUCUCAGUCCCACCUCCUGGAAAGGUAAGAGCUUGCAGACAUGCAAGGUAUGACAAUCUCUAGCUUCUAGGAGCCUCCCGCCUCCACCCCAUUUCUUUAGAACCAGGGAUCCUAGUCAGGGAAGGACUGAGACUUUUGUACCCAGCAUAUUGGAGAUAGUUAAUUUCAGGAGAAAAUUAUAUACAGCCACAUUUACUUUAUAUACUAGGAAAUUAUUUUCAACAAUAUCUUUUUGUCCAACCAUCUGCUUGAAUCAAGUUCCUGCCAGCCUCUGGGAGUAGUAAUUAUUCACUGCUAUGGAACAGAGCUCCAUGCUGGCUUUCCACUGAGGGAGUAGACCCUUUGGUUGUCUGUUGUCUGUUGUCAAGAAUUAUUUUGUCACUUACCAUUGUCAGCUGCUGAUUUUCCAACAGACACUAUCUCUGAGGCUAAAAAUAAAUCCUCUCAACACAAGCCUUCUCUUUAUGAAAGUGUGGGAGAUAGAAUAUACCAGUUAUGGAUAUAAUUUUGCAAUAUAGAGAACAUUUAUUAAUGAGGAAUGAAUCAAAAAAAAGGAAGGAGGACUGGGUUUUACAGAGGCAAGUGAACAAGGGAGUUAUUAGCAAACCUUCUGGGACUCAUGAAAAAGGAUAGAGGUGGGUCUUAUCUCAGAAUAUGGAAAGGCUGGGUCGUCCUUUCCAGUAUUUAGCCAUUUCUUGGAACACAAAAGACUGGGGGGAUUUCUUAACCAUCACUACUUUCGAGGAGCACAGAUGAAGCUGAACAUUGUCAAAGGCUGUAUCUUCUUCAACUUUUAAGAGCCUAGAACAAAUCUGAAAGAGAAAAUCAUUUUUGUAAGCUUUGUGUAUGAGAUAAAAACAGAAUUCUGGCAUCUUGUUUAGGACACUUAAGCUAUCUCCUCCUUUAAUUUGGGUAAAGAAAAUGGAAUGGCCUGCAUAACCAAAGCUUAACAAAGGGAAAGCAAUCAAAGCUGUUCCAGCUUUUCUGGAGGCCUAGAGAACCUAUGGAACAACUUUCAAUUUGGGCCAAUCAUGGAAGCUCUUUUUGUAACUUACAGAAAUUCAUUCAACAUGUAUUUUUUGCAUCCCUGUUAUGUGCUAGGCAUGGAUAUAGAUACUGGGGACAUAGCAGCCAACGCAUCAGUCCGAAAUUUCUCCCCUCAUAGGACUCCUUGACACUGCCGAGAGAGAAGUUUGGGCAGAGGGAAGAGUAAAAUGUGAAGGCUCGAGAUGAGAACUUGCCAAACGUUUUCAAAGAAUAACAAGGAGGGCAGAGUAGCGAGACUGCAGUGGGCAGGCAGACAAGUGGUGGCGGCCGAGGCUGGAGCGCUUCAUGGGGGUGGGGGAUGAUGGGACCUGACAGGCCAUUGUGAUGAUUUUGGCUUUUACUCAGGGUGAGAUGGGAAGCUACUGGAUGGUUUUGAGCAGAGGCAAUGACAUCAUCUAACUUACAUUUUUCAAAGACUCGCUCUAGCUGACAUUUUAAGAGGACCAAAGCAGGGAAAUAAUGAAAAGGCUGUUACACUAAUCCCGGGAAGACAGGGGCUUGGAUCAGGAUAGUCAUGGCAAAGUAUAUGGAUGUGUGAUAUGGUGCUCAGAUCCCCUUCAGGAAUGAAAAAUUUAUU